rnacentral:lncRNA from 1 species
UUGUGUGUCAACUUAACACAAGCUAUAGAGUCAUCAGGGAGGAAGGAGCCUCAGCUGAGGAAAUACCUCCUUGAGAUCUAGCUGUAAGGCAUUUUCUCAAUUAGUGAUCAAUGCCAGAGGGCCCAGUCCAUGAUGGGUGGUGCCAUCCUUGGGCUAUUGGUCCUGGGUUCUAUAAGAAGAAGGUGGAUUGAGCAAGCCAUGGGAAACAAGCCAGUAAGCAGCACCCCUCCAUGACCUCUGCAUCAGCUCCUGCCUCCAGGAUCCUGCCCUGUUCAAGUUCCUGUCCUGACUUCUUCAGUGAUAAACAGCAAUGCUGAAGUCCUCUGUGGUUUCCCUUUCUCCUUCCUCAGCGACAGGCUGCCCACCUGACAGGGACCCUGGAUGGAGUUACAAUACCCCAGGAGAAUUCUUGCUUGGGGAUCAAUUUGUAACUUGCCUCCUGGCUGAUCUUCACAAGGAUCCUUUUAAAGAGCAUGGGGAUAUCAAGCCCAGAUGACCCUUCAGCAGAGCUCCUACAUCUGGCCAUGGGGAACUGAGAA